rnacentral:lncRNA from 1 species
GGCUGCAUUGUCAUCUCUCUGGGACGGCUCCUAAUGGUCAAAAAGUUCUUCACUUAAGUUCAUGAUCAUCACAGGUCCGGUUACCAAAAGAGAUUCAUCUGUUUGAACCUUGAUAUGUGUGAGUCUACUCACUGGAAACAAGCAGCCGAUUUAAAAAGAUAUUGGAAGAACAGCUUGGACACAGAGAAAGGAAUGACCUGGAGUCUUAAAAAACAGACAAGCUUUUCAGUAGCUUGGCACUUGGAACAAGAAGCUAAAAGUCACAUAAGCACCCAGCCACGUGCGUGCCCUCAGCCAGCAGCCCACAAUGGGCAGCCUGUGCCACGUUCAGCGAGAGCUUCGCUGCCUCCCCUGGUCCUGGGACAACAGCCUGCAAAAGGGAAGUUACCUUAA